rnacentral:tRNA from 1 species
GUUUAUAGUAUAACUUAUUACCUUAGCCCUUCAUUCUAAAAAUUUGACAAUCCAGUUCAAUAAACA